rnacentral:rRNA from 1 species
AGUGAACGCUGGCGGCAGGCCUAAUACAUGCAAGUCGAACGGCAGCACAGCAGAGCUUGCUCUGUGGGUGGCGAGUGGCGGACGGGUGAGGAAUACAUGGGAAUCUGCCCAGUCGUGGGGGAUAACGUAUGGAAACGUACGCUAAUACCGCAUGCGCCCUACGGGGGAAAGUCGGGGACCGCAAGGCCUGACGCGAUUGGAUGAGCCCAUGUUCGAUUAGCUAGUUGGCGGGGUAAAGGCCCACCAAGGCGACGAUCGAUAGCUGGUCUGAGAGGAUGAUCAGCCACACUGGAACUGAGACACGGUCCAGACUCCUACGGGAGGCAGCAGUAGGGAAUAUUGGACAAUGGGGGCAACCCUGAUCCAGCCAUGCCGCGUGAGUGAAGAAGGCCCUCGGGUUGUAAAGCUCUUUUGUCCGGAAGAAAAGCAAUCGGUUAAUACCCGGUUGUUCUGACGGUACCGGAAGAAUAAGCACCGGCUAACUACGUGCCAGC